GGAAACCCCCUUCCUCGGUGGU
rnacentral:tRNA from 1 species